UGUUGGAGCAAGAGGUUGACUGGACCCUAAGUAUAUGGGUUAGGACUGGUCAAGCUUGGUUUGACUUCCACUCUAGGUAUAUGUGCUAGAGUGGAAGGUUGACUAGACCCUAAGGAUAUGUAUUAGGGUUAGUCGGAUGAACUCUAAGUAUAUGUGUUAGAGUUCGAAUGAAUUUGAUAUCAUUUAACUGAAUUCUAAGUGUAUAAUUUAGAAUAUUUUGGAGAUGUUUUGUCUUAGUUAUAUGUACUAAGGCGAUUGACUUAGCCUUAAGUAUAUGUAUUAGGGGUAGUCGAUAUUCGAUUUUUACUCUAGGUAUAUGUAUUAGAGUAAAGAAAAAGUUCAUGAUGAACUUUGGGCAUGAGAUUUGGGUAUUGGUUCAUGAGAUUUGAAAAUGAUUUGGUUCAUGGCUCAUAGGAUUUGGCAUAUGGUUCAUGAGGUUGGGUAUAUGGUCCAUGGGAUUUGGUCCAUGGGCUUGGGUUGUGGUUUAUGGUUCAUAAGGUUUGGUAUAUGGGAUUUGGUUCAUGAACUUGGAUAUGGUUCAUGGAUGAGGUUUAUGAACUUGGUGUAUGGUUCAUGGGUUCAUAAGGUAUGGUUCAUGACCUUGGUUUAUGAUUCAUGAACUUGGUGUAUAGGUCAUGAGUUUGGGUAUAUGAUCUUAAUUUAUGGUUUAUGGUUCAUGGUGUAUGGUUCAUGAACUUGGAUAUGGUUCAUGGAUGAGGUUUAUGAACUUGGUGUAUGAUUCAUGGUUUAUGGUUCAUGAACUUGGGUAUGGUUUGUGGUGUUUGGUUCACGAACUUGAUUUAUGGUUUAUGGGACUUGGGUGUGGUUCGUGGUGUUUGGUUCACGAACUUGAAUAUGCUUCAUGAACUUGAUUCAUGGUUUAUGGGAUUUGGUUCAUGAACUUGGGUAUGAAUCCAAGUUGGAAGUCAGGUUUGGGUUCUAUUUGUGAUUGGAUUUGGAUUUAGGGUUAUUUGUGGACUGGAUUGGAUUUGAGUUUUGGGUUUUAUUUGGACUUGGUUCGGAUUUGGGUUUUGGGUUUUAUUUGGUUUGGUUUGGGUUUGGAUUUGAUUUGGGUUUUGGGUUUGGGUUUUAUUUGUGGACCGUAUUUGGUUUUGGAUUUUUUAUUUGGACUUGGUUAGGAUUUGGGUUUUGGGUUUUAUUUGGGUUUUGGUUUGGUUUUGGUUUGAUUUGGGUUUUGGGUUUGGGUUUUAUUUGUGAACUUGAUUCUGUUUGGGUUCGUAUGUGAACUUGGUUUGAUUUGGGUUUGAAUGUGAACUUGGUUUGAUUUGGGUCUGGAUGUGAACUUGGUUCGGAUUUGGUUUGUAUGUGAACUUGAUUCGGUUUGGGUUCGAAUGUGAACUUGAUUCGGUUUGGGUUCGAAUGUGAACUUGAUUCGGUUUGGGUUCGAAUGUGAACUUGAUUCGGAUUUGGUUUGUAUGUGGACUUGAUUUGGUUUGGGUUCGUAUGUGAACUUGAUUUGGAUUUGGAUUCGUAUGUGAACUUGAUUUUCUUUUCAAUUCUAUUUCGGAUUCGAGGCAAUCCUCUUUUGAUUUUGCAACUUGAUUCGGAUCCGAAGAAAUUCCUUUUUGAUUUUGGUUUGAUUUGGGGUCCAAAGAAAUUCCCUUUUGAUCUUGAUUUGGAUUUGGGGUCCGAAGAAAUCCCCGUUUUGAUUUUUUAAUUUGAUUUGUGGUCCGAAGAAAUCCCUGUUUGAUUUCGAGUUGGAUUUGAUUUUUCAAUUUGAUUUGGGGU
rnacentral:lncRNA from 1 species